rnacentral:rRNA from 1 species
GCUUGGUAACUAACCUGCAUUUCUUCGUUUCCAGAAAUGUAUAUCGUUUCAUUGUUGGAGUUAAUAAACAAUAAUUUGACAAGUAUCGCUGAAAAAAGUUCAAACAAAUUAAUACUAACAGAUAGAAGAGGUGGCUCGCAAACGAAUCAAUAGGAAGAAACCAGCUCCACUAAGUAAACUGUGGACCAUACCUGUGUCAGUUCCUGAAAGUAAGUAGUGAUCGUUUCCAGAGGUCUGAAUACCUCUGUUCUGAAAGUUUUAGUCCAGAGGUCUUUAGGAGGCAAAAACCAGGUGGAAUUUUGAGCACCUUUUUAAUUGUUAACGAACUGAGUCACCACAGCUAAACUGAUCAUAAUAUUUCUGGUAAUAUCAAUGCGAUGAACUCAGACCAACGGAUCACAAGGAAAAAUUACUCAGACUAAUGGAUGUUUUAGCUAUUCCUAUGUUGAAGCACUAGAUGUCCAAGUGCCAACUGCCAUUUUCAGAAUCCCUUCACCUCGAUCAAGCUGCACCCUGCAUUUUUCUUGACACUGGGGUGUGCCAUCUUGCUCCUUACUCUUACUGCGUCCUCCCAUCGACUUGCAGUUGCAUACACAUUAGACAUGAGCAAAUCCACAUCAGGAAUUUGGUAGCCUUGCUUGCCUAUUCGUUUGGUCAGCCUUUCACUCAUCUCGACAUUGCCUUGAACCUUGCAAGCAGUGAGGAGUGCACCAAACAGUGGCAUAGCGUCCUUGUUAAUUGGUAUAUUGUUAAUCAACUUCUCAGCUUCAUCAAGUUGACCAGCACGACCUAAAAGAUUGACAAGGCAACUAUAAUGUUCAACUCUUGGUCGUAUCUGAUAAACCUCCUUCAUGGCACGAAACUGUUUCCGCCCUUCAUCAACCAAGCCACCAUGGCAACAUGCACUCAGCACCCCAAUGAAGGUAACGCUGUCAGGCUUAGCAUUGCUUCUCUCCAUAUCCUCAAACAAUUCGAGGGCUCUACCUGCCUGACCAUUUGUGGCCAGGCCGCAGAUAAUGGCAGUCCAGGCCGUAGUGUCUCUGCCUUCCAUUCGUUCAAAGACCUCCACUGCCUUCUCUACAUGCCCACACUUGGCAUACAUGUCAAUCAACGCAGUGCCAAGAACUGCAUCAGGCUUCAUCUUCUUACCUUGAGCAAACUGGUGGAUCCAUUCACCAAGAUUGGCACAGCAUGUCAGGAGAGUGACAACAGUGAACCUGUCUGGCACAACUUGAUGCAUCUGCAUGUCUCGAAACAACGACAAUGCCUCCACGAAGCAUCCAUGUUGUGCAUACGCGUUGAUCAUAGAAGUCCACAUAAUUAGAUCCUUCUCUGUGCACUGGUGGAAGAGUACUCUCGCCUUCUCCACUUGUCCGGCAAAGGCAUAUCCCGACACAAGUAUAGUCCACGAAAUGAUGUUCCUCGACGGCAUUUUUUCAAACAGCUUCACCGCCUCUUCCAAGCAGCCAUUCUUCAUGUACAUGUCCAGCAGUGCAUUCGCAACUGGGAGGCUGAACCCAGUGACUCCAUCCAUGUAGGCAUGAAUUCUCCUUCCUAAGCUCAGAUCACCGGCUCUGGAGCACGCGGUGAGUGCGGUCAGCAACGUCACCCUAUCGGGUGUGAGACCGCCCUUCUCCAUCUCCUCAGCCAAAGCAACCGCUUCUCUGUUUCGGCCACGUCUGACAUAGCACCUGAUCAUCAUAUUCCACACGACCAGCGCCCUCUGCGGCAUUUCAUCGAACACCUUCCGCGCGACUUCAGGGCGGUCCACCAUCGUGUACAUGUCCAUGAGCGAGCUCGCGGUGUAGGCAUCCCACCGGAAACCGGUCUUCAGGGCCGCAGCGUGCGCCUUGCGCCCCUCGACCGGUAGCUUGAGGGCACCGAUGGCCCUGAGCACGAACGGGUAGGUGAAGCUGUCGGCCACGAGGCCGCGCCCGCGGAGGUCGUAGUAGACCGCCAUGACAUCGGCGUAGCUGCUGCGCCUCGCGAGGGUCCUGAUGAGCAGGUUGCAUUCGCGCAGCGGCAUGCCGCGGUGGCGCGCCGUCGCCAUCCUGGGCGUGUGGCGGCGACGCGGGACGCGUGGAGGCGCGCGCGGGCCGGCCAAGAUGGAAGACUUUUAGUAGCCAGGUGCCGUGCACAGAUAGCAGUGAGCGAUAAGAAGCCCCCGCGGAGUUGGGAGAAACGAUGGCUCCUGAGAUGGGUGAGCGGGUGGCCGUCGUGGUGGGAGGGAGCGUAGCGGGCUUGGCCUGCGCGCACGCGGCGGCGGGGGCGGGGUGGAAGGCGGUGGUGUUGGAGAAGGCGGCGGGCCCGGCGGCCGGAGGCGGCACGGGCGCCGGGCUGGGCCUGGAUGCGCAGUCUAUGGAGACCCUCGCCCGCUGGAUCCCCGGGUGGGGUCUCGACGCGGCCACGCUGCCGCUCGCCGUCGACCUGGUAAGCCCGUCCGUCCUCCCCGGUAAAUCGCAAGCUUGGCUUUUUUUAUUAUCGCAGCUUGGCUUCUUCCUUGUUUUCCUUGUGGGCAUAGGUUGAGUACCCCUGCUGCUGCCGCAGAACAUGGCAACGGACAGCGAGACGAAGGCGGCGCGGACGCUGACGAGGGACGAGGGGUUCAACUUCCGCGCGGCGCACUGGGGCGAGCUGCACCGGCGGCUUCACGAGGCUCCGCCGGCCGCGGUGACCGUGCACUGGGGCCACCAGUUCCUUUCGUUCGAGGUUUCGGACACGGACGGCGAUGGUGGCAAACGCGGCGGGGUAGUCGCGACGGCUCGCGUGCUCAGAACCGGUGAAACGGUGGAGGUCGCUGGGGAUUUGCUGGUCGCAGCGGAUGGCUGCACUUCGUCGAUCCGCCGGCGCUUCCUCCCUGACCUCAAGCUCAGGUACUCCGGGUACUGCGCAUGGCGUGGCGUGUUCGAUUUCACCGGGAAGGAAAGCUCCGACAUCAUCACCGGCAUACGAAGAGCGUACCCAGAGCUCGGCAGCUGCCUGUACUUCGAUCUGGCCGAAAAGACUCACGCCGUGCUCUACGAGUUGCCCGGGAACAGACUGAACUGGCUCUGGUACAUCAACGGCCCAGAGCCAGAGCUCACGGGGAGCUCGGUGACGAUGAAGGUGAGCGACGCCACGCUGGCAGGGAUGCAGGAGGACGCCGAGCGCGUCUGGUCGCCGGAGCUGGCGCGGCUGAUCAGGGAAACGGCAGAACCGUUCGUGAACGUGAUCUACGACGCGGACCCGCUGCCGCGGCUGUCGUGGGCGGGCGGCAGCGUGGCACUGGUCGGCGACGCGGCGCACCCGACCACGCCGCACGGGCUGCGGAGCACCAACAUGUCCGUCCAUGACGCCCGCGUGCUCGGGGAGUGCCUCGGGAGGUGGGGGGAGACGCCGCCGCCACGCGCUCUGGACGAGUACGAGGCCGCGCGGCUGCCGGUCGUGGCGGCGCAGGUGCUGCACGCCCGCAGGCUCGGGCGGCUCAAACAGGGCCUGCCGGUGGAGGACGGUGACACGGGGGCGUUCGACGCGAGGGCGGCGACGGUGGAGGAGGCUUUGCAGCUGCGGCAGAGGGGCAUGCCGUAUUUUGGCGGCGCGCCAACUGUAGAUGGCGGUAGUUUGUGAAUCAGUACUACUGAAUUGUUACGCUGAACCUGCUGUUAUCUUUUUUCCAUGGUAAUAUGGUAAUAAGGCCCUCCACUAUGUGACCUGUGCCUGGUGCAUUAAAAUAUGGUAGAUUGGGCAUCGAUGCCCUCAGGAGAAAAUUUGGCACCGCCCUCACACCGUUGGGUUGCAGCCCGUAGAAAAGCGGGAUCCGCACAUACAUAAAGAAAUCGAGCAAGCCAACCUCCCCCUCGAUCCUUUGCGCUGGAAGUGGGCAUCGGUG